rnacentral:rRNA from 1 species
UACGAAGGGGGCUAGCGUUGCUCGGAAUCACUGGGCGUAAAGCGUGCGUAGACGGUUAUGUAAGUCAGGUGUGAAAGCCCAGGGCUCAACCUUGGAAUUGCAUUUGAGACUGCAUAGCUAGGGUGCGGAAGAGGGAAGCGGAAUUUCCGGUGUAGCGGUGAAAUGCGUAGAUAUCGGAAGGAACACCAGUGGCGAAAGCGGCUUCCUGGUCCAGCACCGACGUCAGGCACGA